rnacentral:rRNA from 1 species
UACGUAGGGUGCAAGCGUUAUCCGGAAUUAUUGGGCGUAAAGAGCUCGUAGGCGGUUUGUCGCGUCUGCUGUGGAAACUGGAGGCUCAACCUCCAGCCUGCAGUGGGUACGGGCAAACUAGAGUGCGGUAGGGGAGAUUGGAAUUCCUGGUGUAGCGGUGGAAUGCGCAGAUAUCAGGAGGAACACCGAUGGCGAAGGCAGAUCUCUGGGCCGUAACUGACGCUGAGGAGCGAAAGCAUGGGGAGCGAACAGG